CGUUAAUUUUGACCAAUCAAAAAAAAAACUACUCUGACGUAACUAACAAAAAUUGACAGAGUAAAGAACACAUCAAAAAACUAAAUAAAUUCAGUUUCACGUCGUAAAUUUUUGGAAAAGUCAAAAUUUAAAAUUGUUAAGUGCCGCAAAAAAGUUCACGCACGAUCGUAAUGUAAAAAACCUCGUGCUCAUCUACCCACAGUUGGAGGUUACAUUUUUGACAGAAAUCAAUUUGGAAGCCAAAAUUGUCAGUCUCUUAAAACGAACGGCGUAAAUUUUUUUUCAUUCAACCCCUCAAUAUGAUGCGUCUAGGUUUUAAUAUGUUUAAGCCUUUUCGGCAACAUUUAACGUACUUUUCCAACAAUUUAUCAAAUAAGAAAGGUCUUGUUCUUGGGGUUUACACUGAAGAAGGAAAACCUUUCAAAUUAACAGCCGCCGCUGAAUAUUACAACAAAGUUUCAAACGGACAACUCGUGAAACAUAUAGAACUGUCAGUGAAUAUUGCUAAAAUAAUAUAAAAAGACUUAAAUAUAAAAAUGGCAUCGACUCGUGAUGGUCGUAGUAGCUCUGCUUCAUCACACAGUGGCACAUCGGCUCCUCCAACAACCCGUUCAUCAUCCAUUCGCACCCCAAAACGUCAACGAUCAACAAACGUCUCGUUAGAUGAUAGUACCGUUGAUUUGCAAUGCCCGAUUUGUUUUAACUUAAUCGAUGAGGCCCACAUAACGAAGUGCGGCCACACUUUUUGUUAUAGCUGCAUAACGAAAGCUUUAGAACCCGCGAAACGGUGUCCGAAAUGCGGCGCUUCCGUCACAAACACCGACAUCAUCCCGAAUUUCCUUUUAAACAAUUUAAUCAAAAAGCACAAGUUACGAUUAAACGGAUUAGAAGCGUUAGGUUUAAAUCGGGAUAGUUCGACGGAGUUUUCGGGCCCCGCGGACGGGUUAAAAGAUUUUAUCGCAACCGAAUCGCAAAAUUUAACUUUACCCGAUGUGAAUGUGAUGUUGGAAAUUUUAACGCAACGCAAGCAGUUAUUAGAGGCGGAAUCUUGCGCUGCUCAAAAUAAAUUGUUGUUGGAGUUUUUAACCCACUUAUUACAACAAAAGAAGGAGCAAAAAGAUCGGAUUAUUAAAGAGGUAAGUUUAAUCGAAUCCGAUAUUACGGUUGUUGAGAAUAAAUUAAAAGAAGUACAUAGUAAGUGCCCUACGUUGGAGGAUGUUGAAAGGGCGGUUUCGGCGCAAGAAACUAACCCGGAUAUGUCGGCGAUGAAAAAAGAGAUGAUUGAUUUAAUCGGAAAUAUUGGCUCAACUGUUAAAGAUGUUGAUGGGGUUGAGUCAAAACCGGAAGGUUUAACUUUAGCGAAUCGACGAAGGAGGAUGCACGCUCAUUUCGAUGAUUUCGUGCAAUGUUAUUUUACAACGCGGGCUCCCGAUUUAUACGAAAUCGAUAAGUUAACUAAAAAUGAGAUCCCCCCGAAAGGGUUGGACGAAUUUAAAGAUAACUUAGUUAAAUUCUCCAAGUAUAGCUCGGUACAAUUAUUAGCAACUUUAAAUUAUUCCUCCGAUUUAUUUAAUAACUCAACGAUUGUUUCAAGUAUCGAAUUCGAUAAAGAUAACGAACUCUUUGCAAUCGCCGGGGUUACGAGGCGAAUAAAAGUCUUCGAUUACGGCACUGUUAUCCGAGAUUCCGUCGACAUCCAUUACCCAGCCAUGGAGAUGGUUUCAAAUUCGAAAAUUUCUUGCGUAAGUUGGAACAGUUAUCAUAAAGGCAUGUUGGCAUCGAGCGAUUACGAAGGAACAGUAACGAUUUGGGACGCAUCAACGGGACAAAGGAUGAAAACGUUCCACGAACAUGAAAAGCGAUGUUGGAGCGUCGAUUUUAACGACAUCGACACGAGAUUAAUCGCUUCCGGUUCGGAUGAUGCACGAGUUAAACUUUAUUCCUUAAACGUCGAAAAUUCCAUUGCGACAUUAGAAGCGAAAGCUAACGUUUGUUGCGUCAAAUUUAACCCAAAAAGCUCCUACAACUUAGCGUUUGGAAGUGCGGAUCAUUGGGUUCAUUAUUAUGAUUUAAGAAAUAUGCGGGAGGCUUUAACGGUGUUUAAGGGACAUAAAAAAGCGGUGAGUUACGUGAAGUUCUUAAACAGCGAAGAAAUCGUUUCCGCCUCGACCGAUUCGCAAUUAAAAAUGUGGAAUAUAAAUAAACCGUUUUGUUUGAGAUCGUUUGUUGGGCAUAUUAAUGAAAAGAAUUUUGUUGGGUUAGCCACUGAUGGUGAUUAUAUCGCUUGUGGUUCUGAAAAUAACGCGCUUUACGUUUAUUAUAAAGGGUUAACGAAGAAAUUGUUUAGUCAUAAGUUCGAGGCGAUUCGUGGGAUUUUAGAGCAAGAACGAAGGGAGGAGGAUCCUAAUGAAUUCGUUUCGGCUGUUUGUUGGAAACAAAAUUCGAACGUGGUUAUUGCGGCUAAUAGUCAAGGCAUUAUUAAUAUUUUGGAGUUGGUGUGAAAUGAUUUUUUUUGUUUUGGUGGACAAUCAAACGUUGUUUAAAGUUGGAAUCGUAAAAUAAACGUUUUUAGAAUUCGAUGUGCUCUACUUAAUAAAUAAAUAGUCUAUUUCUUCGUGUUCUACACAAUACAGUUCAAAGGAUAUACGCACAAAUUUUAGUGUUUUAGCCGAGUAUACAGAAUCAUUUAUUGUAUGUACUUUAAAAAUGAAAAUGUAGCGGGAUAAUCGGUGUCUGGUUUAUUUACAAAAAUAUGUAUAUACAGUGUGUCUUCGGAUUGUCUUAAUAAAAAUUGUUGGUUCAAAAUAUAUUGUUAUGUUAACAUAGUUAUAUUCCACUUAAUCGGUUUAAUAAAUUAUUUAAUCAGUUUUUGAGGUUAUCACAACUGAUUAAUUAGAAUGUAACUAUGUCUAGAAAUAUUGUAUGAAUGUUGGGAAUCAUUACUUCUAAAAGUUGUAGAAGUCUGUCUCAAUUUCUUUUUCGCAGAAUUUUUCAAAUUAAUCACCUGUCCUUCUCUCCUACUUUCUGUUUAUCCAUAAUUUCAUACCAACCUUUCUCAUAUACGUCAAAAACAACACCUGGCAGUAUUUGUGAAGAUUUUGGCAUUAUUUUGCGCAUGAAAAUGAUAAUUGGAUUAAAUUCAGUGCCGUUGACACAACAUGAAAGGACAACAAUGUAAUACAUUUUUGAUCUCCACUUGUUUUUAUAGUUACAGUUGUAGCAGUUUUUAUGGCAACACUUCUGUUACUCAACACAUCAAAUGUCAGAGUCAUCUUUUAGUUUUGGCCAUCUUUUUGCAUUCAGUCAAAAUGGUUUUUUCUAUUGUUGGAAGGGCGAAAUGCCGCUCAGCUGUUCUAUAUCAUAUUUUUCUAUAUUCUUUUCCAUUACGAAAUUAGCUACUAACAAAGCUAAAUAAUUAGCUAAAAAGUGUAUGUUGUUUGAGGUUAUAAUGCAAAAUCAAUAUGGUUUCUUUUGUUAGAAACAUUAUCCAACCUUUGUCAUAUAGGUGAAAAACAACACCUGGCAGUAUUUGUGAAGGUUUUGGCAUUAUUUUGCGCUUGAUAAUGAUCAUUGGAUUAAGUUUAGUAUAUUCAGCACAACAUGAACGGACAACAGUGUAAUACAUUUUUUGAUGUCUUUUAUAGUUACAGCUUUAGCACUUUUUAUGGCAACACUUCUGUUACUCAGCACAUCAAAUGUCAGAGUUAUCUUCUAAUUUUGGCCACCUUUUCAUUCAUUCAGAAUGGUUUUUUCAAAAAUAUUAUAAUCAUUUUCAAUUCAAGUUUACUGGCACCGUAGACUGCAAUCAUAGGCUAGAUAGUGUUCUGGGUUUAUAACGGCGGGACGGGAGAUAGAUAGUGUUAGAAAUUUGUGAAUCCCCGCAAUUUAUGUUCGUCGCAUUGGCGCACUCCUACUGCUAGUUGAAUCUAAUGCUGCUAGAUAGAGAUAGGUUUCCCGCGGCAUCGAAUAUAUGGCUACUUUUUAAGACUGGCGGGAAUUUGAAAUCAAAUACUGAACAUUUUUAUAUUAAUUUCGAGUAUAAUGAAUUUGGACACAGUAAACAUUUGCAAAAUGACAAAAAAAAUUUUUUUCACGAACGACGCCAUUUUCUAAUACCUGGUGCUUCUGGGUUUUCUCUAGGAACAUUAAUUGAUCAAGAAUGCCGUCUCCUAAGCUUCUUUCCUUCAUAAAUUUUUCUAUUUCCCUUCCAACUUCUUCUCGAUCUUCUAGAUUUCCUCUUUCCUGCAGGUUUCCAGUUGAUAACUUGUUACUCUAUAACUCGUACCAUAUGAGUUAUCUACCUUUUAUCAUGUUCACUAUUGUAUAUGUAACUUGCAUAAUCUAUUUGGUAUUACUUUAUUGAGGAAAAUCCAUCUCUGUAGCUUAUAACACUCAUUUUGUUCCGCAUUUUGUUAUAACAUUCAUACGCUCCGAGUAUUUGUAUUUCAUGCAGCAUUUGAUUUGUUUCCUAUUUUCCAAUGUUCUCCGAUACACAUAUGUAUUUAUAUUUUGCUUUAUUAGUGUUGAUCUCAAGUCCCCUUGUGCUUUCUUCUAUAAGUUUACGCGUCAUAUAAUUUAUGUCGUCUUAAUCUUGUGCAAUGAGAUCGUUAGCGAAACGCAGUGUGUAAAACAUGUCAUCUUUCCAGCUUUUAUAAAUUUGUUCCAAAUAUAUCUUGAACAGCGUUGGUGAGAUACAACAAUUAUUUUUCAGACCGUUGGUUCCAUUAAAUCCUAUUAUUAACUUUUUGGCAAUUUUAAUUCUUCCAGCCCUUCACCCUUUUCCGUUAGCUACUUAGUUAGUUGCACCUUGUCCAGUAAAGAUAGACGUGAAAGUGGGAUUUGUUAGUAUGCCCUGCAUAUUCCAGAGUUUUGUUACACCAACGAGACCCAUACGGUAACCAAUUGACCCUUUUUUUAUUAUCUCCUAUUGGUUGAUCAAGUUGAUCAAUUAUUAUGGUGCAUAUUUAAAGUCCGAAUGAUAUUUUUAUACUUCUUGGAACAUAGAAAACGUCUUGAAGUCAUAAACUAGAGGAAAUUUUCAAUAUGUAAUGUGAUUUUCAUAAAGGUUGGUAAAACAUCAUUAUUCACACGAUAAUGCUCCUCAGGCUGAAAGUUUACAUAUUACUUACCAAAUUUAGAGUCUUGUUUUGUAAUCAACAGGUGCAAAUAUUUUGAGGUCAUAUCAUAAGGUCUGUUUGAAAUUAUCACAACUUUAAUCAGUUGAGAAUGUAACUAUGUCCAGAAAUAUUUUAUAAUGUAUAUGUGGUAUAAAUUUGAUGACGUCACAGGUGUCCUAAAAAAUGUAUAUUGUUUGAGGAUAUAAUGCAAAAUCAAUAUGGUUUCUUUUGUUAGAUAAAAAUCAUUUGCGGCGAAAUUGAUUGAUACGUAUAUAUAGUCGGCGUCAAAAGUAAUUAAAGAGGAACACUUUUGACGCAGACUGUAUUUGGUCUCCUUUAUACCUGCAGUUUCGUUUCCAGCUACCUCUCGCUUUAUCUUUGGUCUAUGUACUUUCUGGCUUCAACUUUUCCUCGAUCUUCCUGUCCUCCUCCUUCCAUUACAUUCUGUCUCACAUAUUUGUUUGACCAGGUUGUUUUCGCUCAUCCUUACCAGAUGUUCGAAACAUCUAAAUGAACUCUUCUGUUUUUAUUAUUAUUGGUUCCAUCCUUGUUACAACCCGGGGUGAGUUUUGACCUGCUGACAUCUUCUUACCACCUUCUAAUAUUCUAAUAUUAGACAUUCUUUGGAUAUGUUUAUACCAUGUGAAUUGUCUACCUUUUAUCUCGUCCACGAUUGCAUGCGUAACUUGUAUAAUCUCUCUUAUUUGGUCAUUUGGUAUUCGUUUAUUGAGGCUCUCCUGCCGAAAUCCAUCUCCAUGUUUCUAACAUUCAUUUUGUUAUUUGGCCACACUUCACAGCUCUUUACGAUAGCAGUAUAAUAACAUUAUUAUUAACACUCUCUUAUACUUCUCAGAUAGGAAAUCCAGAUAAACAACGUAAUUGUAUAUUAAUGUUUCAAUCCCAAAGUACUUCAUUUAAUACCAUGAAUGUUAGAUUUCGUUGCUUUCCUCCGAUAUUGUUUUAUUAGUGUUUAUUUCUAGUCUCAAUUUCUGAUAUUUUUCCAUAAGUUUUCGCGUCAUAUAAUUUAUGUCAUUGUCAUUUUAUGCAAUGAAUAGCCUUGGUGAGAUAUAACACCUUGUCCAAAGGUCUGAAUCCUGUUGUUAACUUUUUACCGAUUUCAAUUCUUCUGGACAUCGAGAAGUUAGCCCGAUGUUCCAACCCUUCAUCAGGAGGGCCGAGAUUCUUUUCCGUAGGUAUUGUCUUCCUUAGCCAACCAGUUCCAGAUUCUGAAAAAUCGCCUUUCACCCUCUUUCAUUAGCUACUUUGUUACACAGUGCCCAGUGGUCACGAUAUAGACAUGGAAGUAGGAUUUGUUGUAUAUCUUUGAAAGCUGCGGGCGUUCCCAGAGUUUUGCUACAUCCAAGGCAUCGGCAACUUCAGUGCCUCCGAGAUUCCUACGCUAACCAUUUAUCACUAAUGUGGUAAAUGGUAAUCAACUGGACUUCUAGAAGGUAAUAAUUUUGAGCUUAUUCUUAUUUUCUAUUGAUUGAUCAAAUCGAUCAAUUAUUAUGGCACCGAAUGACAUUUUUAUACAUUUUGGGUAUAUAUAACACUGUUGUAGUAUUUCUUGGAACUCAAACAUACUGGUACAUAGCAGACGUUGUCUUGUAUUCACAAAAUAGAUGGAGUUGAUUUUCGUUUUUUUCUGGCUGUGCCUAUAUGUAUAUAUAGCUCUAAAUUUAGAGUAUGAUUUGUUUUGUCAUCAACAAGUGCAAAUAUCACAACUGGUUAGAAUGUAGCUAUGUCCAGAAAUAUUUUAUGAUGUAUAUGUGGUCUAAAUUUGAUGACAUCACAGGAAUCCUAAAAACUGUAUGUUGUUUGAGGUUAUAAUGCAAAAUCAAUAUCAUUUCUUCUGUUACAUAAAAAUCGAAAAGUCAAAAACUGUCAGUUGGGGUGAAAUUGAUUAACAUGUAUAUAUAGUGCGCGUCAAAAGUAAUUAAAGAGGAAUACUUUUGACGCAGACUGUAUAUCGGUCUUCCUUAUACCCUUAGGUAUUGGCAUUGUAGUUUCUGCAGUAUCAUUUCCAUCCUCUUUUCUUAUUUUUGGUCUCCGUCUAUGUACUUCUUGGUUUCAACUCUUCCUCGGUCUUCCUGUCCUCCUUCCAUUACAUUCUGUCUCCCAUAUUUGUUUGACCAGGUUGUUUUCGCUCUUUCUUACUAGGUGUCCGAACUAUCUAAAUGAACUCUCUUCUGUUUUUAUUAUUAUUGGUUAUUUAUUGGUUCCAUUCUUGUUACACCUUCUUCUUCUUAAUUUAUUAGCGCUACAACACGGAGUGAGUUUUAGCCUGCUGAGUCAUUUUUCGCCAUUCCGCCCUCUCUCGAUAUCUCGCUCUCCAUAGUCUUACUUCAAUUUUUUUCAGAUUCUCUCUGACAUCUUCCUACCAUCUCAUUCUUGGUCAUCCUCUCAUUUAUCUACCUUUAGUUUUUUCCAUAGCCCCUCUAUUCUAUGACUUUUUAUAGAUCUGGGCAAAGACAGUAGAAUCUAACAAGACUGCUACAUCUAUUGUUGUGACAACGCAGACUACGUCACACUAUUUUCCACGUCCAGUCAGGUGUUAUUGUGUUCUAUGCAUAUUUUUAUAGGUUAUAUCAUAGACAUAUUCAUAGUAACCUCAAAAUUAUAUCUUAAUGAUAAUAACCUCUAAAAACACACAGCAAACACAUAGACAGUUAACUGGGCGUGGAAAAUAGUGUGACGUAGAGUGCAGGCAACCAACCAGUAGUGUUAGCGUCUAUUAUGUUAUUUAAUUCAAUCUCAUUUUCUCUGUGCCUUCAUUAUUUUGCAUUGUGCCAUAAUUUUUUUCGCAUCACGUCGUGUUAAUAUCCAUACUUCACAGCCAUAAGUUACAAUUUUCGCUUUUAUGUCGUUGCUGGUGUGCUCAAGACGUUCAUGGGUUUUCCAUGAACUGUCUCUUUCUCCUCAUGACAUUUUGUACUUCCGGCAGUGUCAUACCAGGCCUGAGGGGCCUUUUCCUUCCUUAGCCUUCUUAUGAUAUAAAGACCUACGAGUGGGUAACUUUGUACUCUGGUUAGUUAUUCCACAUAUUUUUUGACAUUAAAGCCUUUUUCCAUGCUCUGCAUGCGUAUGAAGCCAUAUUUCAGGACCAAUCAUCUUCCUCUUGUCGUAGGCUUGGUCUAUAUGUUGAUCCCAUAACCCUUUGCAGAGAUUUUAUCGUCUUAUGUGCCUUGUCUGUUGUUUAUAUCAUGCAGGGAUUGCUCAGUUGGGAUUUUCUAGCCCACUACAUCAAUUUUCAUUUUUCUACACAUUAUAAUGAAGACAACCCUAUUUCCUCCAUUACAUCACGUAUGUGUUUCAAGACGCGCUCCGCAAUUUUUCUAAUUUCUCCUUCUUCCCAUCCUGCCAUAAUUAAUAUAUAUGUUCCAGAGAAGUGGCUUCAGCACCGAAUCUCCAGCUCUUCCAGCAAUCUUAUAUUUGGGAAAUGGCUAUUCCUUAGCAAUUUCUGAUAUGCUGGUGCUCUCUUUGACUUAAGGUUCUUUUCAAUGAUGGAGAUAUUUCUUUUUCCAUCGGGGAAGAGCUGUUUAAUAAUAUCACCUCAACUUGUUGCUCUAAGACGAUUCGAUUUAGAUUCCCUAAUGUUUUAAGAGCUAUCUUUGCACGCAUCCUUCUAUACAUCUCUCUUCAAGUCAACACAUAAGCUUUUCCAUGUAUUCCUCUUGGCCGCCUUUAUCUCCCUCUUAUACUCUCUUCUGGCUUCGUCAUAAUUGCUAUAAAUAAAACUUCUUGUCAUUUCUGCAACUACUUAUUACCCAACAUACUCAGUUGUUGAAUGACAUACACUAGAUUCUUUGGGCAGAUUGUAACAAAGGAUUCUUCUUGGUAUAGGACAUUUUUUAAAAGUUUUUGAUUUAAUGCCUUAAACAAAUUACAUAUACAUACAUUGCGUUAAUUAAUUGUCGACCCGACGUCAUCAUUGUAAGUAUGCAACCAAAUACGCAAAUCGCGUAUUGCAAUACUAAUACUGUGAUAUUGGUUGCAUACUUGAGUUUCUUAUAUAAAACAUUCCGAUGAGACACUGCAUAAAUUACAAUAAAUUUAAUAAAAAAGAAAAUGGUCUUGAUCAAAUAUUAUCUUUAUGAAUUGUUUAUAAAUUCGUUAUUGAUAAUUUUUGAUGAUGACGCAAAAAAAAAAAAUUAAUUCCGUACUUGUAUUGUGUGUCUAAGAAAUGAAAAAAGAAAACCUGGUAAAAAAAGUACAAUUAUUAUUAAUUUUCAAAUCUUCAUUAGUUUGACGAAAAGGUACUUUCAUGUAAAACUUUUGUAAAUAGUUUUGUAUAUAAAUUAAAUAGUUUAUCGUGUUGGGACGAAAAAAAAGUUUAUUGUUAAGUAAAUAAUUAAUUAAAAAAGUUAACUAAAGAGAAAAGAUUUAAGUGAAUAAGAAACUUAGAUUUAAGUUUUAAUUUUAAGUAAAUGAAAACCAAAACGUCCCAUCAACAGUGAUUUUGUGAUUAUUCCCAGUUUGUCAACCCAACCCGAACAAAUUUUUGGGACGUUUCAACAAUAAAAGCCAGGUUAACAUUAAAAAUUGUAUUUGGAUAUUUAAAAAUAAGAUUAAACCAGCCUUAGAUUAGGAUUACUUGUUGUAUUAUAAAUUAUAAUAAUAAAUGAUGUGAAAGAAA
rnacentral:misc_RNA from 1 species